CUUCAGGUCAAAGUGAGCAGAUAAACUAGACAGUCUACUGUCUACUGUCAAAUAGAUAGCUUCUAAAAGCAAACACUUAAGCAAAACUUGGAGAAAAUUUAAUGUUACAGUUUCAUAUCAAAGUGUGACUGUGGGGUAUUAAUAUUGAACUCAUCUGCUUCUUUCAUACUCAAAUAAUGUCAAACUCAGAUGCAACUCGUGGUCUUCGCUUUUACAACAAGGUUGCUAUAGUUACAGGGGGAUGUAGGGGGAUUGGACGUGGUUGUGUGGAUGUGUUGGCGGAACAUGGAGGAAAAAUUGCAGUCUUAGACUUAGACGAUGAAGUUGGAG